UCAUCUUGCCCGGGCCUUGGUUCCGCGGCUGAUCCCGCGGACGAAGAGGGAAGCCGGUGCAAGUCCGGCGCUGCCCCCGCAACUGUAAGCGGCAAGCCCCGAGCACGGCCACUGAUCGCAGGAUCGGGAAGGCGCAAGGGGCGUUCGAGCCGCAAGCCAGGAGACCUGCCAGGCCGAAACCAUCCCG
rnacentral:ncRNA from 2 species